rnacentral:rRNA from 1 species
AAUACUGGACAAUGGGGGCAACCCUGAUCCAGCCAUGCCGCGUGUGUGAAGAAGGCCUUUUGGUUGUAAAGCACUUUAAGCAGCGAAGGAGACCUAACGGUUAAUACCCGUUAGCGAUGACAUUAGCUGCAGAAGAAGCACCGGCUAACGUGCUUCCAGCAGCCGCGGUAAUACAGAGGGUGCAAGCGUUAAUCGGAAUUACUGGGCGUAAAGCGAGCGUAGGUGGCUUGAUAAGUCAGAUGUGAAAUCCCCGGGCUUAACCUGGGAACUGCAUCUGAUACUGUUGGGCUAGAGUAGGUGAGAGGGAGGUAGAAUUUCAGGUGUAGCGGUGAAAUGCGUAGAGAUCUGAAGGAAUACCGAUGGCGAAGGCAGCCUCCUGGCAUCAUACUGACACUGAGGUUCGAAAGCGUGGGUAGCAAA